rnacentral:rRNA from 1 species
UACGAAGGGGGCUAGCGUUGUUCGGAAUUACUGGGCGUAGAGCGCACGUAGGCGGACAUUUAAGUCAGGGGUGAAAUCCCAGAGCUCAACUCUGGAACUGCCUUUGAUACUGGGUGUCUUGAGUAUGGAAGAGGUGAGUGGAAUUCCGAGUGUAGAGGUGAAAUUCGUAGAUAUUCGGAGGAACACCAGUGGCGAAGGCGGCUCACUGGUCCAUUACUGACGCUGAGGUGCGAAAGCGUGGGGAGCAAACAGG